UUCUCGACGCCCAGGGCUCCGUCCUCCACGACGUGAACCUUCAGCUUCGAGUUCUGUUCGAAAUAGACCCGGAGCUCCUCCGCCCGCCGGGUUUUACCGCUACACGGGAAACCGCACAUCACUACCAGAGGCAUGGCCGCUGUUGUCAAACACACCGAGCACCGAGCGGACACGGCGAUAAGAACCAAGAUGACACUUUCACCCGGAUGCGAUAAGUACAACUGGGCUUUUUACUACGACCAACAGGGGGCGCCACAAAGCUGGAGAUAAUACUUUCCAACAUUUGAAUGAGAAGAGCCUGCAGGUCUCCCACUCUGUGCAGAGGACUGACGGCUCGUACUCCAGAGGGCACACUUACAUCUUCAAAGGCAGAACCGUCCACUACGCUUUUCUUUCCCAUGAAAUGCCCUUAGUUGAAUAAAGAAGUACAAUCUCAAUGUAAACUGUUAAAAUUAUAUCUAAAAGAAUAACAAAAAAAUGUUAUACAGUA